GAUGAAGAACGUAGCGAAAUGCGAUAAGUAAUGUGAAUUGCAGAAUUCAGUGAAUCAUCGAAUCUUUGAACGCACAUUGCGCCCGCCAGUAUUCUGGCGGGCAUGCCUGUUCGAGCGUCAUUUCAACCAUCAAGCCCCCGGCUUGUGUUGGGGACCCUGCGGCUGCCCGCAGGCCCUGAAAACCAGUGGCGGGCUCGCUGUCACUCCGAGCGUAGUAGCAUAUAUCUCGCUCAGGGCGUGCUGCGGGUUCCGGCCGUUAAAAGCCUUUUUUUUACCCAAGGUUAACCUCGGAUCAGGUAGGAAGACCCGCUGAACUUAAGCAUAUCAAUAAGCGGAGGA
rnacentral:misc_RNA from 1 species